AUUGAACGCUGGCGGCAUGCUUUAUACAUGCAAGUCGUGCGGCAGCGCGGGGGCAACUCUGGCGGCGAGCGGCGAACGGGUGAGUAAUACAUAGGAACGUAUCCUGAAAUGGGGGAUAGCUCGGCGAAAGCCGGAUUAAUACCGCAUACGCUCCACGGAGGAAAGCAGGGGAUCGCAAGACCUUGCGUUUCUGGAGCGGCCUAUGUCUGAUUAGCUAGNGGCGGGGUAAUAGCCCACCAAGGCGACGAUCAGUAGCUGGUCUGAGAGGAUGAUCAGCCACACUGGGACUGAGACACGGCCCAGACUCCUACGGGAGGCAGCAGUAGGAAUUUUGGACAAUGGGGCAACCCUGAUCCACGCCAUGCCGCGUGAGUGAAGAAGGCC
rnacentral:rRNA from 1 species